GAGUAUUUCUCUUUUUUAUACUUUAUAUUUAGUUAAUGUCUAUAUUUUAUAUUUUAAGAUAGAUGUUUAAAUCUUUACGUAUUUUUCUAUUUUUAAUGUAAAACGGCAAUGUUUAAUAGAAGAACUUGGACAAAUGGUCAAACAUAUUUAUGUUUAAUGUAGUAUUUCCAUUUUUAUGUUGUAUGUUUUACAUAUAUUUAUUAUUUUCGAAAUUAUAUAUAAUGUUUUUUGUUUUUUUUUUAUAAAACGGUAAUGUUACAUUAUGGAGAUAAACCGUCUUUUUUUUAAGUGAAAAAUAGUAAUCUUACAUAUGUUUAAUGUAGUUUUUCCAUUUUUUAAUGCUGUAUGUUUACAUAUUUUUUACAAUUUUCGAAAAUAAUUAAUAUUAAAAUGUAAAACUAUAUUUUAUGCCACGUGUCAUCUUUCGAGAAAAUUUUUUUCCGCUGAUGUGGACGCCCUAUGGAGCCUCAAAAGCUCCCUUUUAUUACGAAAAUAAUUAAUAUUAAAAUGUAAAACUAUAUUUUAUGCCACGUGUCAUCUUUGGAGAAAAUUUUUUUCCGCUGAUGUGGACGCCCUAUGGAACCUCAAAAGCUCCC
rnacentral:lncRNA from 1 species